UCAGUUCUCUGUAUGACUUCAUAAUGACUCCAAUAGCUGCUGCUGCAAGUGAAAGGAAAGAUCGUUGUUGCCUGACUAUCAGCCAGAAGAUUCAAUGGCCUUUUCACACUAGAGAGGAAAAUAAGGAUUGUUUCUUCAAUAUUAAUUCCUUUUUCUUUGGCAUGUAAAACAUAAGAAUCAACACCUACAAUUUCUGCUUACAAGAUAAGGUUCAGAGGAAUGAGAGGUUUACGUUUUCUCCCACUGGCACUACUUACGAAUAACUCUCUGAAAUUUAGAAGAUCAGAGCUAUAUUUGAAGGUUAAAGUCACUAUACAUUCAGGCAAAACAGAACAACUUGUGGAGCUGACAGAUCCAGCAAGAACUCUAAGUGAAACUCCUUCUUCCUUUCUGUAGGCUUCACAUGGGAAAAAAAGAUGCUGCUGCUCCAUAAGUGGGUUUUAGAGAGAUGAAUCCCAGGAUGCUACACCACUUCUUUCUGACGGAGAUAACCAGUCCACACAGAGGUGCUACCAGCUGAGCAAGUACAUAAUCUUCAGAUGUCACAUUUGCAUUAAAGGCAUGUGCAGACUGGUUCCCAAAAUCCUUUGAUGAAGUGGUGUUAAGUGGGACAGAGCAAAGGCUCAGUAUUUUUGAUUCCCUGAUGCCUUCACUGCUUUCCUGGCUGAGUAUGGGAUGGCCUCUUAGGAGCACUCCAAGGCACUUUGCUGUGUGGCAUUUCAGCUGGUGCCAGCCAGCAGAACCAGACAUGCCUUGGGUCUCAGUGGGGGACCUGCAGCAAUCUCCUGUCCAACUCUCCCUGGAAGUUCUGUGGACCAUAUGUUGUCCCUGGCAGGUGCAACCAGCAAGACUGAGAGUAGAAGCUGGCAGUGCCCUGCCCGUUCUCCCUGAAGCACCACAGAUUUCGGAGGAGUUGCCAGCCAUUGACAGGCAGGACAUUCGGCCAAGAGCCAUCUGUCCAAGCUUACUUUCUGCCUCUGCUGUGGUUGAUGCCCAGCAAGUUCCCACAAGCCUGAGGAAUGAACUGCAUUUGACCUCACAUAAAAAAAGCUGGUGCUGAGAGGGAAAUGUGAAAAGAAGCCUGCAACUUUCAGCUUUCAGAAAGAUGUAUGGAUGUGAUACAAAAUUAGGGAGAAGAGGAAGAACAGCAUGACUACCUACCUUGCUGGAACAGAGAGAUGUGUCACCAUAUGUGCAUGUUCCAGGGCCUCAGGAAUACUGUGCCUGGAAGAGAGGAGGCAUGUUCAUCCAAAAAAUUAAUAAUAGCGAUGCAUAUAAAGACUAUGGUUUAAUUACUCGCAUUAAACAGCUCAGCAGAGAAGGCAAGUAGUGAAGGUGACAUGACAGGUUCUGCUAGCCUACCUAGUUUAGACAUGAUAUUGCCUAAAACACAUCAUUGGACUCCACAGCCAUGUUCACAUACA